CUCUCGUUUAAUCCCUCUCUUCCUCGUACUCAGCCAUUCCCUCUCACCCGACCCGUCUCUAUGAAGACGUGUCUUUCGCUUUAUUUCGACAUUCUGCUUUAACGAUCUUGCAAUUAAUUUUAUUUAUUUUAAUUGUUUUUUUUCAAUUAUUUUGUUUUGUCUUUUCUUCGUCGUUUGGCGUCUUGUUUUUAUUGUGUCUUGGUUUUUCGUUGGUACUUUUUUUUAACUUUGUUUUAUUUGUGGUGUUCGGUCGGAUAAACAAUGUCACGUGGGUAAUGUUCUGGCGACCCAUUAACGUUGUAUUUACCUUUGCCGGGCAUUUUCAACGUAAUGUUAUGUAAAUUUAGCUUAAAGUUGAUUUUGUUAAUAAAUUAUUUUCGGGCGUUGCAUAAGUGAUAAAAAAUUUGAUACCAGACAAUUUGCAAUUUAUAAAUGUUAAUACACAUACAUAUGUACAUAUGCAGGAAUUUGCAGAGACAAUAAUUAACAAGACUACAGCCGUUUGCCAUUGAAUCAUGGUUGAUGGUAGAAACCGAAAAAAUUUGAAUUUUAGCUACUGAUACAAAUUAAUUUAGUAGUAACAAAAUAAAAGGAAAUAUUAGCGGAGGGGAGCGAAACGUUUGCUACUAUCCGCUAACGACUCAUCUGAAUAGUAAGCAAUGAUGUUAGAUUACUAGUCUUGCUAUUUAGCUAUGGUGAAAAGGAAAAUUGUGAGGAAAACUUUGACUGUCACCCAUGGUGAAAAGAUUUUUCAUGUUUUUUGAACUGGUGAUCACUGUAACCCAAAAACCGCUUGGACUUCUGAUGAUCACCGCAAGGGACUUCUAGAGAAACGGGCUCCACAAAA